GAACGCGAAAGGGAAAGCAUAGUUGUAGUAGUUUUCGAACUAGGAUGAGAGUGUCGAUCGGUAAUUCUCAGCUUACUUUUGUAUAAUCGAUAAAUACGUCUGUUACAGAUAUAAGCUAUAAAAAUAUAAAGUCCCUGUAAUCCAUUGAGACCUGCUAUAACAGUAUAAAUAUUUAUUUCAUUAACAAAGAAAUUAACGAGCAAUAAUAUCCACGAA
rnacentral:lncRNA from 1 species